UGUUUACUCUUUUCUCUCUGUUCUCUCCUCUUUUCUCUCUGUUCUCUCCUCUAUCAGGAGUACCAGAACUAUGGUUGGUGGAUCGGGGAGAUGAAGGGGUCUGUUGGCAUCGUUCCUAAAGAGUACCUCAUGGAGUUGUACGCCAUUUAAAGGCCUGUCUGAGGAGGGCAUCUAAAUCCAAUCGUCUUCCAUGUGAGUGCAUGGAAACAGACCACAUCUGGAGGGGACGCUGAACUAAGCGCAAAGCCAACUGUCUGUCGCAAAAUGAAAAAUAUCAGAUGCAUGUCGUGUCCAUCUUGAUCUCGCUAAGUGCUUUAAGGAGUUGUCUCGGCAUUUGAGUUCAGUAAACUGCUUCUGUUUAAUUUAUUAUCGCCGCAUUUCCCCUUUUGAUACAGAGUCUUUAAUAUUGUGAACUGUCUAGAAUGAAUCGCUUAUGGAGUCUUUGUAUUGUGAACUGUCUAGAAUGAAUCGCUUAUGGAGUCUUUGUAUUGUGAACUGUCUAGAAUGAAUCGCUUAUGGAGUCUUUGUAUUGUGAACUGUCUAAAUGAAUCGCUUAUGGAGUCUUUGUAUUGUGAACUGUCUAGAAUGAAUCGCUUAUGGAGUCUUUGUAUUGUGAACUGUCUAGAAUGAAUCGCUUAUGGGUCUUUGCUGAGAAAUACAUGUUAUAUUUCAUAAAUACUUGUACUG